UCAGUUGGUAGAGCAUGGCGCUUGUAAUGCCAGGGUAGUGGGUUCGAUUCCCGGGACCACCCAUACGUAGAAUGUAUGCACACAUGACUGUAAGUCGCUUUGGAUAAAAGCGUCUGCUAAAUGGCAUAUAUUAUUAUAUUAUAUUAUUAUAUUAUUUUGAUAAAGAACCCUGGUGUACUAGGGUCUGUGUCUGUUGUGUUUUUUGUUAGAUGAUUGAGGACAUUCUCCAGAGCAAAGCUGGAGGGGAAAGGAUCAUGAACGAGUAUGCUCAGACAAAAAGCUUGAAUUACCGCAUCAGACGUGACAUGAUCAAGAUAUUGGUUGCAAAUAUGACAGAGGCUCAUGGAACAAGUCUCCAACGACAUGGGAAGAAGGAGGCAUAUGCAACAGGAAUAGUUUCCUUGUUCCCCUAUCUGGCUGACCGCAAAAGCAAGACAGACUGCCCACCAUUUAUAAUGCAGAAGACUGAAGUGGCUACUUGGUAUGGAGACUGAAGCACCUGCAAAAGGAGGCUGCAGAGGGAAGAAUAAAGUCACUAACAGGUGGACCAUAGAUCGAGACCCCUUCACGGACGAAGACUGGCUGAGGGAAGAAGGGCAGUGCCGAGAGCCAUCGCACUGAUGAAACACACGUCUGAUGAAGCAACCGUAAAAUAAAAUAUAUUUUUUUCUGUUUCAAAUAUUUUUUAUUAAACACACACACAAGAAUGGGGUAUAGGUAUACAAGACAGGUAUACAAUUCUUAUCUAAACAUAUAAGAGCAUUCAGGAACAACAAGACCCAGAGCCCUGGGUGCAAAACAAAUCAUACAAAACACGAC